GAAAAAUUAGUUUAAUAAAAAUAUUAAUUUGUCAGAUUUAUGAUACUUAAAGGUAUUUUUCU
rnacentral:tRNA from 1 species